UCUGCAGCUUCCUGCCGACCAUGCAGUGACACAGAGGUCCUCUUGGCUGUCUGCACUAGUGAUUUUGUGAUCAGAGGCUCCAUUCAAGAGGUAACAAACCAGGCAGAGGAGCAGGAAUCCAUCAUUCAUGUCGGUGUCAACAAACUGUACAGGCAGAAGAGCAAAGUCUUCCAGCUCACGGGGGAGAGUGGGAACUGGCGGGGACAAAUAAAGACCCUGCUGGAGUGUGGGGUGAAACCAGGAGACGGGGACUUCCUUUUCACGGGACGCAUGCACUUUGGGGAGGCCAGGUUAGGCUGUGCCCCUCGUUUUAAAGACUUCCAAAGGAUGUACAAAGAAGCAAAAGACAAAGGGCUAAAUCCAUGUGAAAUUGGCCCAGAUUGAAAUCCCCUGUUUGGCUGAAGAUUGCUUUUUAGCGUUUGGCUGGGAAUAUUUCCUGGCCGCGAUGAAAACUCUGAACAAAAAUGGUAACUGAGAGCAUGGACAGGUCUGGAGCACAGGCUGUGACCCCGCAAGACAUGUCUGCAGCCUGCGGUGCUUGUAGACUGAUGGAAGCAACAGAGGUACGAGCUCAGAAGGCUGUCAAGCGAGCAAGGCUGGAUUUUUAACCAAUCUUGUCCUUAUGAAUUAAGUUAUUAUAUUUUUUUAGUGACUUCCUUAGGAAAACAAACAAAGAAAACUCCCAUGUCUUAAUAAAAAAAAACCCAAAUGAAAGCCAAGAUGCCUCUGUAUCUUUUUAAUACUAAUUUUUAAAAAUGUCUUAAGCUGAUGUAGCAUUUGAUAUGGCGUAUUCUGUAUAAAUGGCUGAGAAUGUGAUAGAGCACGGUAAAACAUCUUAACAUUGAUGCUUUGUAAAAAGCUUGGUGUACAAUUCAAAGUUGUUUCUUAUGACAGAAAUUUAUGGAGCCAAACUCUUGUGUGCACGUUCUCUUUUUAUAUUUGAAAGAAUGUACAAUCGCUGCCUGCAAUUUUUUGUCCAGGCUGGCAAAUUCUUUCCAUUCCAGAGAAAUAAAGGUCCCUGGAUUUGA